rnacentral:rRNA from 1 species
GUGUUGUGUUGUAAGGGCGCAUGGUGGAUGCCUUGGCAUAGUAGGCCGAUGAAGGACGUGAGAGGCUGCGAUAGGCCUCGGGGAGCUGCCAACUGAGCGUUGAUCCGAGGGUGUCCGAAUGGGGAAACCUGGCCGUCGUUGUGGGCGGUCGCCGUUAGAUGAAUUCAUAGUCUAAUUGGUGGUUACGCGGGGAAGUGAAACAUCUCAGUACCCGUAGGAGUAGAAAAUAAUUGUGAUUCCGUUAGUAGUGGCGAACGAACGUGGAUGAGGCUAAACCGCGUGCGUGUGAUACCUGGCAGGGUUUGCGUGCGUGGGGUUGUGGGGAUGCACUUUGCAGGGUCUGCUAGUCCUGCGUUGUGUUGUGUGGGUGUAGCGGAAGUGGAUUGGAAUGUCCUGCCGUAGACGGUGAGAGUCCGGUACGUGAAACACCCGUGCGUGCAAUUGGUGUGUUGCCCGAGUAGCAGCGGGCUCGUGGAAUCUGCUGUGAAUCUGCCGGGACCACCCGGUAAGCCUAAAUACCUGCUUAUGACCGAUAGCGGAUUAGUACCGUGAGGGAAUGGUGAAAAGUACCCCGGGAGGGGAGUGAAAUAGUACCUGAAACCAUGUGCUUACAAUCCGUCAGAGCCCUUUUUUGUGGGGUGAUGGCGUGCCUUUUGAAGAAUGAGCCUGCGAGUCAGCGGCAUGUCGCGAGGUUAACCCGUUUGGUGGGGUAGUCGUAGCGAAAGCGAAUACUAACUAGUGUGUUUUUUAGUGGCAUGUCCUGGACCCGAAGCGGGGUGAUCUACCCAUGGCCAGUGUGAAGCAGAGGUAAGACUCUGUGGAGGCGCGAACCCACUUAGGUUGAAAACUGAGGGGAUGAGCUGUGGGUAGGGGUGAAAGGCCAAUCAAACUCCGUGAUAGCUGGUUCUCCCCGAAAUGCAUUUAGGUGCAGCGUCGUGUGUUUCCUCCUGGAGGUAGAGCUACUGGUUGGUUUAGCGGGACUAUCAUCUUAGCGACAUCAGCCAAACUCCGAAUGCCGGUGAGGUCAGAGCACGGCAGUGAGACUGCGGGGGAUAAGCUUCGUAGUCGAGAGGGAAACAGCCCAGAUCGCCGGCUAAGGCCCCUAAGGGUGUGCUAAGUGGAAAAGGAUGUGGGAUCGCGAAGACAACCAGGAGGUUGGCUUAGAAGCAGCCAUCCUUGAAAGAGUGCGUAAUAGCUCACUGGUCGAGUGGUUCUGCGCCGACAAUGUAGUGGGGCUCAAGUACACCGCCGAAGCCGCGGCAAUCACCUUUU